rnacentral:lncRNA from 1 species
UCUUUAAUGGAUAUGGAUAUAAAUAUCUAUGUUAUUCAGAUACACAAAUAUCUACAUAUAUUUGAAUAAAUUCGGAUACAAAAAUGGUUCUAGACAUAUAUUAUCUUAUCUAUUUUCACCCUUAAUAUAUAUUUUAAAACUCGACAUAUGUCUACAUGCAACAUGCCUGCGUAUUAUCUAUAUAUUCUAACAUCUACUCUAAGUUAUAGGCUUCUUACUAGUAAAAUUAUGUAGAUAAAUGCUGCAC